GCAGUGGUGGUUUGAUGGUAGAACUCUCACCUUCCAUGCAGAAGACCUGGGUUCAAUUCCCAGCCGAUGCA
rnacentral:tRNA from 1 species